AAGACUGGCUUUCCUGAAAGAAGGGGAAAUUCUUCUAGCAGACAGCUUUUGGACUUAACUGUAACAUCAACUUUUCCCUAGGUCUCCAUCCUGGCAGCCUACCCUGCAGAUUUUGGACUUGACAGCCUCCAAAAUCAUGUGCAACAUAAGUGGACUCGAGAAGCAGAGCCUUGAAAAACAAGUAAAGGCUAACAGCAGACAUGUUGAAUAUUGAAUCCAGUCAAGGGCCAGACGAAGGCUGCAGGAGCUGAGGUCUUGGUGCUAAUUAGUCAGCCUCAGAUAUCUGGAACAGCAAAUGUGAAGUGGAGUGCAGAGAAUCCAGCCAAGAACUGUGAGACCAGGGAAUGGCCACACCUCGGGCCAGAAGGAGCCUGUCCCCCUGCACCAUCACAUGGAAUCUCUCCACCCAACCCAACAGUGUGAUGUAGCACAAAACAAUGAAAUACAUUUAGAACGUGCUUAUUUAGUCAGAUUUAUAAUAUUUUUUAAAAAAUAUUCUCCCUCUACCAAAUUGGAGAUGCUGAAAUUAUUGUUCUGGGAGGGUGUAUCCUUGGUAGUGGGUGGUUGCUUUGUCACUAAAUAAUAUGGAAUGCAUCACAGUGCUCCUCAAACUUGAAAGUCCCUGAGAGUCACCUGGGGAUCUGGUUAAAAUGCAGAUGUUGAUUUAGUAAGCGGCCAUGACCCUGUUUUCCUAAGGAGUCCUGGUGAUACCCAUGCUGCUGGCCCAUGAACCACUGGGUGAGAAUCUCCUCCAAGAUUGUUGGAGGAGAGAAGUUUGUGUGACCAAGAGGACAGGUUGUUGGAGCCCUGUAUUGAAAUGUAUUGAAAUCAACAAGAAUAGAGAAAGUAGUAUAGGGGAGAACAAAUGAGCCAGGAACUGAAAUAAUCAAACAAUGAACUGGGAGUAGAGAAUAGCAACAAGGAGAGGUAAUGGGUGGAAGGAAGUGCAGAGGACUGUUAACCAGGGAGGAGAGUAAAUGGUAUGGAAACAGUGUUUGGGGGCAAGGGCAAAAUCAUUCAGCCUCCAGGCCCAAGGGUUGGAAGAAUGAGGGAAAAGCAUCACUGGUGCAGAACGGGGUUGCCUAGGCAGUGGUGUCUCAGGGAUCCAGGGGAAGGGAAGGUUCAGGACGGAGAGAAGGGACUUGGCUAGAGGAUUGUGAAGCGAAAGGGCACAUGGAGGGGUCUUGAAAUGGGAAG